AAUCCCAGUGUUAUUAUCGUGCGCUAAUCAUUUUGAAGUAUUGUUUCGAGCUCAGUCAUAAAAUUGGCAGCGGAUCAUUCGGAGAGAUCUACACCGGUGGACUACUCGCUAAUUGGUACUCGAUUUUUUCUUUAUUUGUUUUGCUUUUAGAUUGAUUUUGAUUGAAGUUUUCCAUGGAUUAUUUUUAGGUACUAACACUCAAACGAACGAGAAGGACGAGACUAAGCUUGUGAGUCACUAACUGAUACUUGGUUUUUGCUCCAUGCGUUCUACUUUUUCUAGUUUUUGCUCGUUUUAGUUACUUUAGUAUUGUUAUAGUCAUUCCAUUGAUAUUUUGUUGAUUUAAUAUUUUGACGUAUUAUUUUGACGUUCUAUGAGGCGAUAUGGACUGUGGCUUGUUCUGUUUUUUUUUUUCUUGGGUCAUUUGAUUGACGUAGAUAAUGUUCACUUGCUUCCAAUAAGUCAUGGAUGCUAACUUCCAUACAUUAGAAUGAUUAUUAUUAACAAGUGGAAGCUUUCCUCAGUUUGUGGCAUUCACAUGCAUGAGAAAAUUGUCAAAAAGUCGUAAAUCUAUUGCUUUUUUAUAAUCUAAUUAUAAACAUUUUAAUUUUACUAAUUAAAUCCUAAAAUUUUCAUAUUUUGUUAAUUGAGUCUACCUUGUCAAUUUUAAUCGAAAUCGUUGACUUAGACAAAUUUUAAUAAUAUGUAGAUGUUUUUUCGAAAUUUUAAAUUUUUCCUUUUUUCUUUUCUCUCUUCUCCUUCUUUCCCUUCUUUUUACUUUUUUUUUCUUCUUCCUUUCCCCCUUUCCCCCUCCGCUAGUCACCAUUGGGCCUCGUUGAUAGCUCGUGGAGUUUGGCAGCCUCACAAGAGGGCCACAAUCGUUGGCCUCAAGCGAGGGAUGCCUGGGCUGGAUUGGCAAGGAUCGAGCGACCCUUCACGGGCCUCAAGCAAGGGUUGCCCUUGCCUGGGCAAGCGUGGGAUGCCCUCUCUUGGGCAGGUGAGGGCAAGGCGAGGACUGCCCUCACCAGUCAACUUGAUUUUCCAGCAUCUAGUAUACUCCCCUUUGCCCUAUUCUGAUGCAUCUGUCCUCUUUUUCUCCUGUAAGAGUAAUAAUGAAAAUAUGUUUCAGUGUAUCACACUCGAAAUCAGAUAAUCAUUGUAGAUCAUGCAAAACAUGGAGAGAAGGGAAUCAUGCUCCUUAACAGAAAAGAAGAGAUACUAUGGUAACAGUGAUGAUUUUCAAUUGUCAUCACUCUUUAUCUAGUCAAUUAAGAAUGUGUUAGCCACAAAUAAGAACAAACAAUUUGACUCUUGGCAUCUGCAAGUUCAAGAUUUUGUGGAAAUGAACAUCCCAUGAACUUGUGUCCUUAAAACUUCAAAUCACAUUGUGGUGAAAUAUCAUUUUGGUAAGUAUGGAAUAUCCCCCCAAUAACAUCAAUUGCAUAGUAGCUGAAUGAUAGGAUCGAUGGGAAUAUAAAAAAUCAUGUCUUCCAGACGACAAGUAUUUGUUGUCUGCGCGGGAUGAUUUGGAGCGUAAGCUCACUGAAGAGGGGGACUUCCACGGGAGAAAAUUGUGACAACCCAUAGGCAGUAAUGAUUUUAGGCCAUGUGGUAAGGCAAUUUACCUCCAUAGGAAGACCAAAUAGGAAAAAAGUCAAUUAAUAUAACACCAUGUAAAGAAUCAAAUUGAACUCUAUUCCAGUUACCUUUUGCAGCAGAGUUAACAGUAGCAACAUUAUGCCGCUGCUUUUGCAUAUUGAAUUUGUGAAGAGAACUGAAGCUGUUUCCACAUGCUUUAGAUCCCUUAAAGAUUCACGGUUGACUUCAUGGUUGCCAACUUCAACCAAAUGACCAGGAAAUUCCAUCAUCUUUCCAGGGCUUACUUCUUCAGCUUUGCUCAGGAACCUGCAAUCUAAAAAUUUCCAGCUCGUAUCAUACAAGAAAACCUGACAAAACACCCAUGAAAAAGGUUUCCAAUCCUCUGAGCCGCAUUUAUCCUGACAAAAGUUUCCCACUAGCAUGAUGAGAAGUGCACAAACCAUGAAGAAGAAAACCAGCUAAUAAAGGAAGGAAGAGACGAUAAUUCAGCAACAAGAAAGCUGGUACUAUCUGAGGUUAAAGAUCAGUAGGAGACGUAGACUGUAGAGCUUGACCUGCCUAGUAAUAGGUCCACUGCUUGUAGAACGUAAGAAGCCAUCAUGAUAUUUCUUCGACUUUUGAGUUAACUGCGUUGUAUACAAGACAUGCCAAUCUAUAUCAAAAGGAAGAUCACGUCAACUGUAGUGCUGAGACAACAAUAACAAACUUAAGAAUAUAACUAGCAGAAUAUUCAGACCAGUUUCUGAGGGAAAGUUUGGAAAUAUGCUAAGAAGCUCCCAAUGAUUUUCAAGAGAAGCCAUGAAAAAAUGUGGACAUAAAACUGCUGUGAUUGAGGAGAUUUGAUAUACAAAGCAUCAGAGUUGAGAGAACAUCUAUUGUCCUUGAACAGAUUCUAUGUGUAUUAUAAAGAUAAGUAGAAACUGUAAACCCAAAGGAAAUUAAGAAAUGAUUCACAGUCCAGGAUAUGACAUCAAAGGAAAUGAUAUAUGGCCAGGCAUGGCAUAUAUGAAUCUGCAAAAGUCCAAACUCACCUGGCAUACUCGAUGUCUUG
rnacentral:lncRNA from 1 species